rnacentral:rRNA from 1 species
AAGCUAUUUAGGUAGCGCCUCGUGAACUCAUCUCCGGGGGUAGAGCACUGUUUCGGCUAGGGGGCCAUCCCGGCUUACCAACCCGAUGCAAACUGCGAAUACCGGAGAAUGUUAUCACGGGAGACACACGGCGGGUGCUAACGUCCGUCGUGAAGAGGGAAACAACCCAGACCGCCAGCUAAGGUCCCAAAGUCAUGGUUAAGUGGGAAACGAUGUGGGAAGGCCCAGACAGCCAGGAUGUUGGCUUAGAAGCAGCCAUCAUUUAAAGAAAGCGUAAUAGCUCACUGGUCGAGUCGGCCUGCGCGGAAGAUGUAACGGGGCUAAACCAUGCACCGAAGCUGCGGCAGCGACACUCAGGUGUUGUUGGGUAGGGGAGCGUUCUGUAAGCCUGCGAAGGUGGCCUGUGAGGGUUGCUGGAGGUAUCAGAAGUGCGAAUGCUGACAUAAGUAACGAUAAAGCGGGUGAAAAGCCCGCUCGCCGGAAGACCAAGGGUUCCUGUCCAACGUUAAUCGGGGCAGGGUGAGUCGACCCCUAAGGCGAGGCCGAAAGGCGUAGUCGAUGGGAAACGGGUUAAUAUUCCCGUACUUGGUGUUACUGCGAAGGGGGGACGGAGAAGGCUAUGUUGGCCGGGCGACGGUUGUCCCGGUUUAAGCGUGUAGGUGUGUGUUCCAGGUAAAUCCGGUUCACUUUAACACUGAGGCGUGAUGACGAGGCACUACGGUGCUGAAGCAACAAAUGCCCUGCUUCCAGGAAAAGCCUCUAAGCAUCAGGUAACAUCAAAUCGUACCCCAAACCGACACAGGUGGUCAGGUAGAGAAUACCAAGGCGCUUGAGAGAACUCGGGUGAAGGAACUAGGCAAAAUGGUGCCGUAACUUCGGGAGAAGGCACGCUGACACGUAGGUGAAGUGAUUUACUCAUGGAGCUGAAGUCAGUCGAAGAUACCAGCUGGCUGCAACUGUUUAUUAAAAACACAGCACUGUGCAAACACGAAAGUGGACGUAUACGGUGUGACGCCUGCCCGGUGCCGGAAGGUUAAUUGAUGGGGUCAGCGCAAGCGAAGCUCCUGAUCGAAGCCCCGGUAAACGGCGGCCGUAACUAUAACGGUCCUAAGGUAGCGAAAUUCCUUGUCGGGUAAGUUCCGACCUGCACGAAUGGCGUAAUGAUGGCCAGGCUGUCUCCACCCGAGACUCAGUGAAAUUGAACUCGCUGUGAAGAUGCAGUGUACCCGCGGCAAGACGGAAAGACCCCGUGAACCUUUACUAUAGCUUGACACUGAACAUUGAGCCUUGAUGUGUAGGAUAGGUGGGAGGCUUUGAAGUGUGGACGCCAGUCUGCAUGGAGCCGGCCUUGAAAUACCACCCUUUAAUGUUUGAUGUUCUAACGUGGACCCGUGAUCCGGGUUGCGGACAGUGUCUGGUGGGUAGUUUGACUGGGGCGGUCUCCUCCUAAAGAGUAACGGAGGAGCACGAAGGUUGGCUAAUCCUGGUCGGACAUCAGGAGGUUAGUGCAAUGGCAUAAGCCAGCUUGACUGCGAGCGUGACGGCGCGAGCAGGUGCGAAAGCAGGUCAUAGUGAUCCGGUGGUUCUGAAUGGAAGGGCCAUCGCUCAACGGAUAAAAGGUACUCCGGGGAUAACAGGCUGAUACCGCCCAAGAGUUCAUAUCGACGGCGGUGUUUGGCACCUCGAUGUCGGCUCAUCACAUCCUGGGGCUGAAGUAGGUCCCAAGGGUAUGGCUGUUCGCCAUUUAAAGUGGUACGCGAGCUGGGUUUAGAACGUCGUGAGACAGUUCGGUCCCUAUCUGCCGUGGGCGCUGGAGAACUGAGGGGGGCUGCUCCUAGUACGAGAGGACCGGAGUGGACGCAUCACUGGUGUUCGGGUUGUCAUGCCAAUGGCACUGCCCGGUAGCUAAAUGCGGAAGAGAUAAGUGCUGAAAGCAUCUAAGCACGAAACUUGCCCCGAGAUGAGUUCUCCCUGAGACUUUAGGUCUCCUGAAGGAACGUUGAAGACGACGACGUUGAUAGGCCGGGUGUGUAAGCGCAGCGAUGCGUUGAGCUAACCGGUACUAAUGAACCGUGAGGCUUAACCUUACA